GCCGAAAUAGCUCAGUUGGGAGAGCGUUAGACUGAAGAUCUAAAGAUUCCUGUUUCAACACCGGGUUUCAGUA